GAUGAACGCUGGCGGCGUGCCUAAUACAUGCAAGUCGAACGCGCAGCGAAAGGUGCUUGCACCUUUCAAGCGAGUGGCGAACGGGUGAGUAACACGUGGAUAACCUGCCUCAAGGCUGGGGAUAACAUUUGGAAACAGAUGCUAAUACCGAAUAAAACUUAGUAUCGCAUGAUACAAAGUUAAAAGGCGCUACGGCGUCACCUAGAGAUGGAUCAGAGGUGCAUUAGUUAGUUGGUGGGGUAAAGGCUUACCAAGACGAUGAUGCAUAGCCGAGUUGAGAGACUGAUCGGCCACAUUGGGACUGAGACACGGCCCAAACUCCUACGGGAGGCUGCAGUAGGGAAUCUUCCACAAUGGGCGCAAGCCUGAUGGAGCAACGCCGCGUGUGUGAUGAAGGCUUUCGGGUCGUAAAGCACUGUUGUAUGGGAAGAAAUGCUAAAAUAGGGAAUGAUUUUAGUUUGACGGUACCAUACCAGAAAGGGACGGCUAAAUACGUGCCAGCAGCCGCCGUAA
rnacentral:rRNA from 1 species